rnacentral:rRNA from 1 species
GACGAACGCUGGCGGCGUGCUUAACACAUGCGAGUCGAACGGAAAGGCCCUGCUUUUGUGGGGUGCUCGAGUGGCGAACGGGUGAGUAACACGUGAGUAACCUGCCCUUGACUUUGGGAUAACUUCAGGAAACUGGGGCUAAUACCGGAUAGGAGCUCCUGCUGCAUGGUGGGGGUUGGAAAGUUUCGGCGGUUGGGGAUGGACUCGCGGCUUAUCAGCUUGUUGGUGGGGUAGUGGCUUACCAAGGCUUUGACGGGUAGCCGGCCUGAGAGGGUGACCGGCCACAUUGGGACUGAGAUACGGCCCAGACUCCUACGGGAGGCAGCAGUGGGGAAUAUUGCACAAUGGGCGGAAGCCUGAUGCAGCAACGCCGCGUGCGGGAUGACGGCCUUCGGGUUGUAAACCGCCUUCGCCUGUGACGAAGCGUGAGUGACGGUAAUGGGUAAAGAAGCACCGGCUAACUACGUG